CUAAGUUUUAAAUGAAUAUAGUAUUUAGCAAUUUAAUCAAUUUCGGAUUAAGUGUAUCUAUUCUUUCGCCUUUUACUAAAGAAUACUUAAAAUAAGAGCACAAUUUUUGCUUCCGAUGUA
rnacentral:snRNA from 1 species